rnacentral:misc_RNA from 1 species
AAAGAAGAGGUUUACAGAUUUUGGUAGGCUCGAGAAAACUGUUUCCUCAGAUCAUGACGUGGUACCAGAUAUGGUUUAUUAUGAUGAGAAGUCUGCUUGUUCUCAACUAAACCAAACAAAAAUUGAAUUGCCGCUUUGGGCAUUGGGAAUGUUCAAUAGUUCAUCUACUUAUUACUUGAUUAGGUUAUGUUUGUGGUUCAAAACCUUAAACUUAUACAAAAAAAUUAUCCAAAAG